GGAAGGAGAGAGUCAGUGAGAAGCGCAACCAAUGCGGGGAGCCGGCCUGCAGCCAGUGGGCGCCCGCGGUUUCCAAAGACCCGCCCCUGCGCGCCAGUGGUGGGCGGAUGGGCGCUAGGAGCUGCACUUAAAAGGCGGGGAAUCGCUAGCCGCAAGAUUUUUCCUCGACAGAUCCUGCCGCAGUGUAUUCCUCCCGCACCACUCGCCUCCACCCGUCGCUGCCACCGCCGCCGCCUCGCCUGGAGCCUCCGGGCGUCCCACCAUCGCCCUCCUCCAAGCCCUGCCUCGAGGCCUGGCACGUGGGCAAGUGCAGCCAAAGUGGCUGUGGCCAGAGAGAAGAAAACAGUAAAAGAAGUCUCUGUUCCUUACGGGAGUCUGACAGGUAACCUCAGCCCAGCCUUAGGAUAUUGGGCCCGGAGCUCAGAGGAAGGAACUGGAGGAAGAGGAGUCAGAGACCCAGUCCUCAGACUGGUUUUGGGUGAGAUCUCUAUCCAUCAGGAGGAGCUGAUUUCUUCAGGAGGUAAUUCCAGAAGAGGAAUUGCUACUCUUUGAGGCUGCGGACCCUGUUUGCUGAUGUUGACCCACUGGCCCUUCUGCCCGUGUGCUGGUGGAGAAGCACGAUGAACAGGUGCCUUGCACCCCCACUUCUGGGGAGCCAUCAGCACAGGCCCUGCCUGUUCCCAUGGUCCCAUGGUGCUUCCCACCCUGAACCCUUGUAGCACUAGCCAGGGAGAAAGCAGAGGAACAGUGAGCUGAUUUUCAGGCCUCUGGGGGCAGAGGGGGUUGGGCUUCCCUAUGACCCCCUCCCCACUUUCCCAGAUCUUCAAUAUUUGUUGUGAUGUGACAGCCACAAAAGCUGUAAGAACUGUGGGCUUUGGGUGCCUCCUUGUUAAGAGGGUGGGUGGGGGGGGGGAAUGCAUGCAGGGGUAUGGAGGCAGCUCAAGGAUUCCCAGAACCUGGGGAAGAAACUCCUUCGAAAUAAAUGUGUUAUUGUUAUUAUUGUGUUAUUGCUGUAUUAUUGUGUUGUGAAGAUAAGAAGUUUUACUCUGUACGCUAAUGCUUUCUCUUCCUCAAUAAAAAUAUAAAGGGUGUGUAAAGAUGGUGUCUGUCUGUGUUAUUGGGCAAACAUAGAUGGGUGCCCAGUGGGCGGG
rnacentral:lncRNA from 1 species